CCUUCGAGAUGCUCCCGACUCACAGUUCAGAUAAGAGAUGGAGGCCUCAUGAGAGGAGAGGACUUGCCCUGGCUGCCCGUUUAGCCAGUGCAAAGCAGGACUAGAAGCCAGCCAUGUCCCUUUAGGUGUCUGGUGGAUUUUAGCAGGCUGUGGCCAAAGCUGUUCCCUUAGCACCUGCUUCCUGCCCAGUUCAGCCAAUCAGCGAUUACUGACGGAGACAAAUGGGGCAAGUUGUCCAGUGAAACCAGCACAACCCAGAGCCCAGAUGCAGGAGCACCUUCCAGAACCCCACAGAGACCCACUCAGGCACCCCCUGGGCAUGGACAGCCCCCAACCUCUCCCCUUCUCCUCGGGGCUGUUGUGUCACUGCCAGGAGCCUCGUGACCACCACCUCCUGCUGAAAGUGUCCUGUAAAGAUCUAAUUCUGUGUGAUGGACUGUAUGAUAAUGUAUAUUUAAUGUGAACCUUUUAAUAUACACGUGUUUUGUUUAAACUGUACCUCACUGAGCCUGCAUGUUUUCUUUCUUUCAAAUGCAAACGUGUGCCGGGGGUCUAGUUUGAUUGCCUUCUUCUUGCCGAAGUUGAAGUUCUGCCAUCAUUCCCCAAAGAUGGAUCGUUACAGGAAAAAAAGGAAACUUCUUGCUUCCUAAUUAGGAGGAAGCUAGAGUCCUAAUGAGCUCGUUAAGUGAAAACAAAUUAAUUUGUUCAGCAAACAUUUGUUGAGUCCUUGGGCCUGGUGGCUACAGAGGAGAACAGAACCCAACCCCUGCCCUCAGGAAGCGUCCAGUGUGGGGGAAAACAGGCAACUACACGUGAUGCAAUAGACGUGGGCUGGGGGUGGGGGACAGAUGCGGGGCGAUUGAGUCUCUCUGCAGCAGUCAGGAAAAGUUGUGCCUUGGAGGAUGAGCCUGAAAGCCUGGUAAUCCCAGCAGAGGUAACAAGUGGGGGUCACAGUGUAGCGCAGCCUGCAUAGUAGGAGAUGGCGAGGCCUCUGGGCCUCUGAGGGCUUCAUCCUGUGGAGGCUAGGAGAGGGGCGUUCAUCGCUCGUAGCAGGAAGCCAUUCUUGGUCUUCCUGAAGACUGAGAGAUGCUGGCCCGCUGAGGGCUUCCCUGGUAACUCGGGCAGUCAAGAACCUGCCUGCAAUGCGAGAGACCUGGGUUUGAUCCAUGGGUCAGGAAGAUCACCUGGAAAAGGGAAUAGGAACCCACUCUGGUAUUCUCACUUAGAGAAUUUCAUGGAUAGAGGAGCCUGGCGGGCUAUAACCCGUGGGGUCACAGAGUCGGACACAACUGAGCGACUAGCACUCACACUUUUUGCAUCCGGGAGAGGCAGGUAGGGUACGACUGGCAUUCAGUCUCCCAUUGUUUGUUCCCGUGUCAUGAUCGUGAUGACGUCCUUACGCAGCCUGAGACGCGGAGGCCUAGAGGGUCUGCAGCCCGAGCUCCUUC
rnacentral:lncRNA from 1 species